AUUGAACGCUGGCGGCAGGCCUAACACAUGCAAGUCGAACGGUAACAGGAAGCAGCUUGCUGCUUUGCUGACGAGUGGCGGACGGGUGAGUAAUGUCUGGGAAACUGCCUGAUGGAGGGGGAUAACUACUGGAAACGGUAGCUAAUACCGCAUAACGUCGCAAGACCAAAGAGGGGGACCUUCGGGCCUCUUGCCAUCGGAUGUGCCCAGAUGGGAUUAGCUAGUAGGUGGGGUAACGGCUCACCUAGGCGACGAUCCCUAGCUGGUCUGAGAGGAUGACCGGCCACACUGGAACUGCGACACGGUCCAGACUCCUACGGGAGGCAGCAGUGGGGAAUAUUGCACAAUGGGCGCAAGCCUGAUGCAGCCAUGCCGCGUGUAUGAAGAAGGCCUUCGGGUUGUAAAGUACUUUCAGCGGGGAGGAAGGGAGUAAAGUUAAUACCUUUGCUCAUUGACGUUACCCGCAGAAGAAGCACCGGCUAACUCCGUG
rnacentral:rRNA from 1 species